AGCGAACGCUGGCGGCAGGCUUAAUACAUGCAAGUCGAGCGCCUGUAGCAAUACAGGAGCGGCAGACGGGAGAGUAACACGUGGGAACGUGCCCUUUAGUUCGGAACAACCCAGGGAAACUUGGGCUAAUACCGGAUACGCCCUUACGGGGAAAGAUUUAUCGCUAAAGGAUCGGCCCGCGUCUGAUUAGCUAGUUGGUGGGGUAAUGGCCCACCAAGGCGACGAUCAGUAGCUGGUCUGAGAGGAUGAUCAGCCUUAUUGGGACUGAGACACGGCCCAAACUCCUACGGGAGGCAGCAGUAGGGAAUAUUGGACAAUGGGGGCAACCCUGAUCCAGCCAUGCCGCGUGAGUGAUGAAGGCCUUAGGGUUGUAAAGCUCUUUCGGCGGGGAAGAUAAUGACGGUACCCGCAUAAGAAGCCCCGGCUAACUUCGUGCCAGCCGCCGCAGUAACAC
rnacentral:rRNA from 1 species